GACAAAUCAAGACAUUGGUGUUCGGAAAAUAAUCAAGUACAAACAAGAUUAUAUUAGUGUUCCCCAUGCAGAUAAUAAUUCACGCCUUAUCCCCAAUAGGGUGAGCAGAGUGAUGACUCUAGUAGAUGAAUUGCUUCGAUGUGGCCAUUUUAAGCCCCUUGGUUUGAUGCCACAACAGCAUAGUGUUCGAGUCUGUUGUCUUUCGAGUGCGGCGUCUGCCACCCCCGUAAACAUACUGCCUUCGCGUCACUUGCAGCCCUGAAGUUCUGUGCGGCAUUUUUUGGGCGAUUUGGCACCGCGAGCCGGUAACCGCAUAUUUAAGUGGCCCAAGUCAAAAUCGACGAGCGAUAUGGCUUUAUUAAUUAAAUAGAUACCUUUUUUGACUUCCCUAUCGACGUUCCCCAAACACAAGUGUAAGAAUACAUAA